UUGCCAGUGUAUGAAAUACACUCACUCGAAUUUUAAACAUUUUUGAUUUGAUUUUAUUUCUUUUAAGUUUUGUUCAAAAUUUAGAGAUAUUGGAAAAAGUAUGUAUAAAUCGCAUUAUUAUUUACUUUUGAUAUUUUAUUUUUCAGAAUUGAAAGUAAAUUUGUAUCACAAAUUAAAUAACGGCAACAUUGGAUUACGACGUCAUCAAAUAAUACGGUGACGUUGGUUGCUUUUAGUCGUCUAGUGUACUACCAGGCAUGAAUUGGUUUUCAGAACGAUCGAUACAUUUCAGAGGAGGCUCCAUCUGGGAAUCAGUGACUAAAGAUCACGUAGAAUAUGAAGGAUAGCGUAAUUAAAAUGGGUCGAUGGUGGCCAUGCACCCCAGAAAGUUGGGCGCAUCAUCCAAUCGGAGGCGAUCAAUUAUAUAAAUAUCAUUUUAAGAACAAAUAUUAUAUCAAACAGAUUCCUUUUAAACCUGCCCAUUGCAGUAACACAGGGUAACGUCAUUCGAAAUCAUUCAUGAAGUUACGGAAAUCAAAUGAUGAAUUAUUUACAAAAAGUUAUCUUAGAAGCUGCUUCAUCGACAAUCAGAAGUGUUAGCCAAAGCCAACAAUCAAUAUCAUCGACAAAAUGAUUAAGAAAUUGGAUAAUAUCGGGCGCGUUCAUCGUGGAUGUACUGCAGCAUUUCGAUGUCAGGGAGUUCCAACAAAUGUUACAAUGACCACAUAUUUAUCGAAUGCUAUAAGAAAUGAUAAAUAAAAACCUGUGUGUACUUACGGAAGUUAAAGUUGAUGGAAAUAGGGAGGAAAUGGUAUUAAAAAUAAAAAAUAAAAGUAAAUUAUCACAUAUAGUAAACUAUGCAAAAAUUAUAAAUUGUAUGUAUUUCUUUGCUUUAAUUAAUCCAAUUUAUAUUAUUUGUAUUGUAUAUUAUGUUAAUUGUGACUAGAAAAUUAUUCAAAUUCAUUCAAUAAUUUUAUUUUCUUACCAAUGGUCGUGGGAGGUAAAAAUAUACAAGUUUUAGUUCUGAAUUUUCAAGACAUAUUAAAUAUUUUAACAGACUGUGUGUUAGGAUAAUUAAUACAUUGUUUAUGGACGGUCAGCAACAGAUCUGCAGUUACACCUUGAAGUCUAUAUUCGCUUGCAACGAGUGUGUGGAAAUCGAUGGGAAAGUAUUAAAAAUUGUGCAAGUGUUCAAAUGCGACAAAGUAAAUAAAUGUUUUCAGAUGAAUUGUUGCAACAAUUUCGCAUGAUUAAUUUUUGACAAAUUAAUAAUAUUUCUGUGUACAUAUUAUGUAUUUUGAAUCGGAUAUUAAUAUAUACAACUGUUUUAUAGUUAUUGUUAUUAAAUUCUAAAAGAAAUUUUUUUCAAAUAUGAUAUAACAUGUUGGUAACUAAUAAUUAUAUUCAUAUUACACUGAUAUUAAAUUAAAAAGGUGGAAGAGUAACAACUACAAAUCUGCCGCUGACCGUAAGUUCGUCGAAGCCGUUAAUAAGUUCUAUAUAAAUUUGGACUAUAUACGUUAAUAUUAUCAAGAUUUAACUCGGACCUAAUUAAACUAAACUGAUUAAUGUGAAACUGAUAACUUUGAUCUUGUUCAGUGUGUAACAUUGAAAUUAAUUAAUUUCCAUAAUUCUCGGACGUAAUGGCAUGUUCGAAUUUUUAAAAUAAUUUUAUCGUGCAAGGUUACUGUGGUAACGGGGGUGGAAGAGAUGUUUUCCGGGCGAGCACGCGUACGUUGCAAAAUGCAGUUUAAAAUUUGUACCUAUAAAACAGAUUAAUUUGUCAGUGAGUUCCUCAGUGAUCUACGCUUCAGUUAAAUUAAGGUGAACUAUAACAAAUUUAUUAAUUUUUAACUCUUUGUAUAUCUAAUAUGUUAAUAGUAGUUCAAACACAUUACAGACAUUAUAAUCAAGUUUCGUUUUUCAUUGUUACAUAUAAAAAUCUUUGAAUUAUUUCCAAUAUGUUAGAAAGAUGUAAAAAGAAGUUUUGCAAUUAUUUUUUUAUUUAAUCAAAUAAUUUUAUUUAGUUUCAUCAGAUGCGGGAUGAAUUUUUUAACAUUUUUGAUCAGCAAAAGUGGACUCGACUAUAAAACAGGUUGCAGUUGCGCAGGUGGGCGGUAUUAAAGGUCAACUUGAAUGUAAAAAGUUAUUGAUUUUAUUUUAAAAUGAAAAUACAAUGCAACUUUUUAUAAAAAUAAAAAACAAAAUGUUUGGAGUUAAGAAUGGAACCUACCUCUUGUUUUAUAUUAUUUUCAAACCAUACGUGUUUUAAAUUAUAAUAGCUCUAUAAAAAUUAUUCACUAGUAAAUGCUUAAAAGGGAAAUUAAAACACAUAACUUUUUUGUCUAUAAUUUACCAUGUUAUUCUUAUGUUAUUCAAUUAUCUACAAAUUAAGUGUAUAUGUAUAAUAGUUAUUAAAAUUGUUAUUUUGACAUUUAUACAUUUUGUCCUACUUUUAAAAUUGUUAAAGUAAAAAAAAGAAAUAAAUAGUCAUAUACAGUGUGGUUCAUUUGAAAGCGGGCCACCCCCAUAAAAUUUUUGAUAAAUUUUGUUUGUUCAAUUGUGCUAAUUUGUGCUAUUUUUACAGUUUAUUGACAGACUACUUGAUUAAAUAAUAUGAUUUUUAAUUUAUCCACAAUUAUGAAUCAUUUCAGGGUGCGUUUAAUCCAGUGGUGUAGUUAUAUUUUCUAUAAAAAAAUUGGUAGUAUCUCUUCAAAUUUCAUGCCUAGAAAAUUACCCCGGAGAUUUUGGUUUUGGGCCAAAAAACGUGAGACUUUGUAUAUAAGUGAAUAUUUUCAUGCUUUACAAUUAAAAAAAAAGUUUGUUAAAAUAGGACAAAAAAUUAAAUUUUGUGAGGAAGAUUUCAAAUGACCUACGUAUCAGAAUAUUGCCAUUUUGGUUUUGCGUUUAAAACUAGUACUUUCUUCAGUUAAAUUUGUUUCUUAAUGGUUUAUUUUUUCUUUAAUGAAUUGUAUAUUGUUUUUAAAAAUAUAUUAAGUCCUUGGUUUCUCUGAUUUUUAAUUUUUCAUUUUAAAAUAAAAUAAACCCAGACUAAAAAGGUGUCUUUUAACACUGAAUACAGAUACAACAAAUUUUAAAAAACUAUUUCUUAUUCUUUUAUGGUUCAUUGAUAAUUAACAUUUUUGUAUCGAUCAUUUUUAAAUAAGUGAAGUCUUUACUGAAAAUCCAAACAAGUCAAUUUCGCAGAAUUUAGUGUCAAAUCGGCGUUACUCUUACAUCAUGGAACGUCCUGAUUACUAUCGAUUUUAUGUUUAUUAAAAAUCAAAAUGUGGGUGACAUAUGGAUUUUACUUUUAUAUUCUCUUAAAGCAGCACAUUAAGGAGUUAAGAAGUGUCAUAUAAAUAUUAGAUAUAAAUAUUUUAAAAGUAAAUUUAGAAAUAACUACUCACUAGUUGAGUUGUGUAAAGAUAUAUUUCCUGUAAAUUCAGACAUCUUAGAUAUUGAAGUUUUGAUUAUCUGUUCUACAUUUCUAUUAAGAGCUUUUAAUUUAAAAGGUGAAAAAUUAUACUGUAUUUUUUAUCUCUGAAUCUCUCUACACAUUUUGUACAUAUAUCAAAUUAAAUAAAUAUAAAUUAACGAUA